rnacentral:rRNA from 1 species
GCAAGUCGAGCGAGAGCUUGCGGGUAGCAAUAUCUUCAAGUUCUAGCGGCGAAAGGGUGCGUAACACGUGGGUAAUCUACCGUGAAGUUCGGAAUAACUUGCCGAAAGGGAAGCUAAUGCCGGAUGUGAUCUCGACGGGACAUCCUAUCGAGAUGAAAGCUGGGGAUCCUUCGGGACCUGGCGUUUCACGAUGAACCUGCGGCCUAUCAGCUUGUUGGUGAGGUAACGGCUCACCAAGGCGACGACGGGUAGCUGGUCUGAGAGGACGAUC